CAGAGGGAGGGCCACGGACAGAAUCGCCAGUAAUUUAUCUGGGGCCCCGCCGAGCAGGGUCAUGGGCUUUGGGCAGCCGUCCUCAGGAGCCCCAGGCCCUCUUCACCUGGGCCUGGCACUCUUUCCCGAGUACAUGCUGGCACCUGAGGUGAGCCAACAGACCCGAGUGCAGGACUAAUUCACCUGGAAUGUCAAUAUUUGGGUUCAGGGUGACUGAGUUCAUACAAAUACCAGUUAUACUGAGUGUGCAUUCUUGUAAAACAGGAAGAAAAAUAAAACACUUCUCUGAUCAAAAUAGUGUUCUAUGUAUGUGGAAGUCCUCCCCACAACCCCAAUGAUACAAGGUCAUGUUAUCAGAGUCAGAAAAAGUUUUCCAGUGGGAUAUAUCUUCCUCCUCAUUCCAACUCCAUCUAAUGGCCAUCGUGCCACCCUGAGCUGGGAGUAGAGAAGUUUAGACCCGGAAGACAUCCUAAUGUUUAGUAAAAACAAAAGGACAUCAAACAAAUAAACAACAGCUGGGGUCCAGAGAAGCCGAGAUUCUGCCUCCACGGUGCCCAACUCAUCAGCAAACCCCACAGAACUCCAUGAUCAUGUCACAUUCAUGAUCAGGAAUGUGGCCACAAGCGUAGGCUCUAGGGACAAGGGAAAACUCCCAGCACGGCUCUGGUCUGGAGGCCCCAUUAGUGGUGGCCUUGUGGGUCCUUAUCGGCAAUAACAAUACCAAUGACAGCCAAAAUAUCCUCCUGACUUUAACCCAGGUCUACUUCUAUUGAAUUCCAAAGCCUCCAGUAUAAACUUUUGUACAAUCUCCAAGCAUUCACCUGCAGAUAGCACAAACCCCGACUAGCCUGUGCUCAUGUAAUAAGGAGUCACAUGGCCUCACAGGGUUGGGGCAGUGGCCCAGCCAUGCCAUCAGGGGACAAUUGCUCUUUUCCUCUCUCUGUUUUGCCAUCCUUGAUGUUGGCCUUCAUUCCUCAGGUCAUUGCUUCACAAUCACAAAAUGGCCGCUGCAGCUCCAGGCAUUGCUUCUGUGCUUCAAGGAGGAAGAAAGAAUGGGAGAAGGAAGGUGGUACCCGUUUCAGGGAAGUAAAAGUUUUCACAGAAGCCCCAGCAGAUCUCUGUGUAUGUCUUAUUUGUUGGAAGUAUCACGUGGCCGCUACUAACUUCAAGGGAGUCUGAAAAGGUGAGUAUUUUUAGCUGGGCACGUCACCUGCCUGGACACAGUUGGGGUUCUAUUAGUUAGGACGUGAGGAAAUGGGUCUUGCAUUGGCAACUAAUAAUGUCUGCCCCAGUGGGUGAGUGAGGACACUGGCAUCUGUCUGCAGGGGUGAGAUGUGAGUAAAAGUGCUCAGCAUGGUGAGGGAGCUGGCACAUGCCAUCCAGCUGUGCUUGCUUUGUGUCUUGCAAAAAUGAUACAGUCUUAUCACUAAGCUCUCCCACUUUUCAGGGAGUGUUAAUAAAACCUUGACCUCAAAGAAUUGAGAAUAUCAAGUGAGGACAUCUUUGCACAGAGAGGUGGUCCCCCUGGUGUGGGAGGAGGGUCUGCAGUCAGUCCGCUCAGUGUGCCGAGCCUGCGCGGUCCUCCCAGAGGCCCUUGCCCUUGUGUUCCAGGCCCCACCUCACUUCCCCACUGCCACACCUGGCGCCUUCCGUUCAGACUCGCUGGCUGUCUAACCCUAGUCCAUGGGAAAACCCAACAAUCCUCAGGAGGUGUGGGUGGAGAGAGAGAUGGAGAGAGACAGAGAGGGAGAGAGAAAGACACAUAGACAGAGAGAAAGAGAGAGAGGGAGGGAGCUUGCUUGCUUCCCUCUGGUGGCCGAGUGCUAACCCAGCCCUCCUGGCCUCGGGCCUUCACCACCCUGUUUUGUGGCUGCCCACCCUGUCUCAUCCAGCCCCUGCGCUGAGGUCCCUUAUAGACUCGGGCGUCAUUUGCUGAUGAUUUCAAAUGGCUCCCAUGAAAUUCCAGGACACGAGCCAUCUGCGUCCUUUCCCUGGGACUCCCUGGCUCCUGGUGGUCAUUUGCCCCCCGCUGUGUCGUGGGGAACAGCCGCCGUGUGCGUAGGGUGUAGGGAGGCUCCACCUGAGAACAGAAAGCCUGGGUGACUCUUCUUAGAGCGUGAUGUGCUUUCAUAUAAAAUAAGUCUAAAGAACAACACAAUGCUCACUUUUCAGAAGGGCCCUGGGUCCUGGGCGGCGGGCGGGGUGUGGAGGAAGCAGCCGCACUUUCCUGGUUCCGGGGCAGACGUCACCCAGCCUGCACAUCCCUCCUGAUUCAUCUGGGAGGCCAGUGCUUUUGGGUCUGUCUGCUCCAUCCUUCCUGCACUUCACAGGAGGCAACCAUGAGCUCUGUGUCUCAUCUGCACCUGGGCACGUGGUCAUGUUGGAUAACCCACGUGGCAGGAACUAAGGGCACCUCUAGGAGCUGAGGUGGUCUCUGAACAACAGGAAAUUGAAGCCUUCAGUCCAACAACUGCAAAGAACUGAAUCUUGCCCAUAAGAUGAGUGAGCUUGGAAGUGGAUCUUUUCUCUGGUUAAAGCUCAAUGCAAACUUAGCCAGCCAGACACCUGGAUUAGAGCUUGGCUGAGACCCAAGCAGAGGACUCAGUGAAACAUGCCUGUGCUCUAUUUAUUAUGUAAGCAUUAAAAAGCUG
rnacentral:lncRNA from 1 species